AGUAUGUGCUCUAGCCAAGGCUCAGUAGAAGCCUGGGACCAUAGAAGCUGGGAAUGCUGCAGCCCAAGGCAGACUCCACAGCAACCUUGGAGGCCUUGCAGGGUUCAGAGGCACUGGAGAAAGGGUAGCCCGGAGAACCUAGAGGUAACAGGGACGCCCAGACCGCAGCAGCAGGGAGGAUGGCAGGAACCAGCCCAAGGGAAUCAGAAAUGACUCAAAUCCUUCUCUCAUUGAAAUCAGUGACAAGAAUCCCACUGAUUUCCAAGGACGCAGCACCGGACACACUGUUCUAGAAUCAAUCAGGAGUAAAAUCUGAAAAGUGGCUAGACUCAGUACACUUCAGAAAGGUCCUGUUGUCUCAUGGCUUCCUUGCCCUUUGCCAAUGAAGUGAGCGUCAAUUAUAUGAUUUUCAUCCUGGUAUACUCUCCACCCUGGUCAUCCCUCCCAUCUUCUGCCUGGAGGUUGCAAGCCAGUUGUUGCAGCAACCUAUUGAAGACUGACCACCUCCAGCUGAGUCUCCUGCCAAAAACAUACCGAAUGCACAUCCACCUGUAUCAUCCUUAGCUAACUAUUGCCUAUUGAUAGAAUUGUCUGGAGAACACUAUCUCUGAGUUCAGGUCAGUCCUUCACACUGGCUUUGCAUACCUGAGCCUCCCUCUGGAAAAA